CAACGGAUAUCUUGGCUCCUGCAACGAUGAAGAACGCAGCGAAAUGCGAUACCUAGUGUGAAUUGCAGAAUUCCGCGAAUCAUCGAGUCUUUGAACGCAAGUUGCGCCCGAGGCUUGUCCCGAGGGCAUGCCUGUCUGAGCGUCA
rnacentral:rRNA from 1 species